rnacentral:rRNA from 1 species
GAGUUUGAUCCUGGCUCAGGAUGAACGCUAGCGGCAGGCCUAAUACAUGCAAGUCGAACGGUAAAUAUUCAGCAAUGGAUAUGAGAGUGACGUACGGGUGCGUAACACGUAUGCAACCUACCCUUUACAGGAGGAUAGCUCGGGGAAACUCGGAUUAACCCUCCAUAAUAUAAUUGGAUGGCAUCAUUUGAUUAUUAAAUCUCUGGAGGUAAAGGAUGGGCAUGCGUCUGAUUAGUUAGUUGGCGGGGUAACGGCCCACCAAGACGAUGAUCAGUAGGGGAACUGAGAGGUUGAUCCCCCACACUGGCACUGAGAUACGGGCCAGACUCCUACGGGAGGCAGCAGUAGGGAAUAUUGGUCAAUGGAUGGAAGUCUGAACCAGCCAUGCCGCGUGCAGGAAGAAGGCCUUCUGGGUUGUAAACUGCUUUUGCCAGGGGCUAAAAAGCCCAUGCGUGGGAAAUUGAAAGUACCUGGUGAAUAAGCCACGGCUAACUACGUGCCAGCAGCCGCGGUAAC